rnacentral:lncRNA from 1 species
UCCUUUAAUCCGACUUUGACUGGAAUCAUCAUGGUUAUGGAGAAUUUUGGGAAGAAAUUGCUUUAUUAUCCUUCUCAUUUGCCAAUUGGUUUUCUCAAAAGUAAUUGAACCACCAAUUACUGUCUCUGCAAUACAGCAUAACCCCUUGUUGUUCAUCUUAUCAAGCAGGGAAUAUAUGCAUCCCAAAUUCUCAGCUGAAUUAAAGUGCAAUAUGGCUGGAGCAUCAGGACCUGUCCUUUCAUCCUUAUGCACUCCAAAUGCCUUUGCAACAGAAGUUCUAAUAUUUUCAUAAUAUAACUGCAAGUAUUUCAAUUUUGAA